GUUGUAACAAUUUGUAGAAACAUUGCAUAUACAUUUACAGUAAGUAAAGUUUACAAGAAUAUUUUACUUAAAUUAUGAGCUUUAAAUUAGACCUUUUAAUUACACUAAUAAAUGCAUCCAAAUAUUUUGUCAUUCAGUCAACAAGACAGAACUGAACAUGCCUAGACAUCUGGAAGCCAUCGUGCAAGAAGUCGUAAAGAAGGAUUACAUGGAUACGAGCAAAAUGCCUGUUUAUUUAAAGUGUGAGGCAUCUGUGUCGUUUGAGUUGUUUUUUUAGAGAUAUAACAGCAAAGGACAGGGAGACAACACUUUGAAGUACCACCAGAGACUGAAGCCCGAAGGAGCUGCUGAGAAUAAGUAGGGAGCAGUGUUGCAGUAAACUGUGCCAUCCCACAGUCUUGGCUCCUUCUUUCUGCUGAAAACCACUGAAGAGCUCCUCACACGCUGCAGCUCAGUGAUUUGUGGGUUAUUCACCCUCUCAGUAAAAUUAGCCGGUUUGUGGGACCUCUGCAGGAAUACAGGCGGCUGCAUCAUCACGACACUGCAAACGCGAGUGAAGGUGAUGAACUUGUGUGGCCUCUCCUGCGCUGGCACUGCACUGCCACAUUUCACUCCCUACACACAACAGCACGGCUUGGUGUGGCCUCCUUUGAAUUUCUCCCACGAACACGUGACGGAUUACAACAAUGAAACAAUGCAUGUCGAAACGACUCUUUACUUCCACACCAGAGGCCUGAUCUGA
rnacentral:lncRNA from 1 species